GUGUCUUAGAGCCUGACUGAGCAAAGUCUGCUGGGAGGAGAGCUUUCGGGAGCUCUGAGAAACAUUCACUCCCCAGAGAGUGGGAAUAAGAAGUAAGAAGUGACCUGGAAGAAAACACAGCUUUUGGUUCCAUAAGACUAAGAGAACUUAUACAGAUGGCCGUGAACCAGGAACAUGGAUUCAGCUGGAGACAUCGGUAGGCAGGUGCAAAGUGUGUGCAGGAGAUUUCCAUCGGUCUCAGGUGCUAUCUAACGACAUUCUUCUCAGCGUUCAGAUUGGUGGAAGCCAGUGGCCUGGUGUGUACAUCCAUACCCAGCUUCUCCUGCUCAUGUUUUGUGUGGAGACAGCCUUCCAUUGUUGAGCCAAAUGAGGACAUGAAACGGAUCCGGGAAGAACCCGGGAGGAUCUUAACCUAACACCAGCAGCUUUUUAAUUCAACUGUGAGCAGGAUUCUGGAAGCCUGAGUUCCAGCCCUAGUAUACAAGGCUGAGGCAGAAGCAUGCUUCCUAUAGGCUGGUUGGUUCCUCCGUAGAACAGAGGGGAACACAGUCUUUCCCUAUUAGGCUUUAGAAGUCAAUUUAGUAAAAUGGAGUAGUACACUUCAGAGCCAGGCUUUCUGCUCUGGGUCUGGAGCCCCAGGGCCUUCAUGAGGUAGGGCCUUCUUGGAAGGAUGUGGGCGACCCAGUGAGGAUAUAUGUAUAAGAAAACCCCAUCUGCCCCACAAGUAAGUCUAAAUAUAUUCCUAACAGGACUCAGAAAGGGAGGCUCUGAAAUUCCUUCCUUGGAGCCAAUCGCAGCUAUCUUUGAGAUAGUGCAAAACAACUUAGGGAAACUAGACUUGGCCAGUUUUUACCUGAGCUCAUGAAGUGGUUUAAAUAGAAGCUUUGUUGCCUGCAGCUGAGUAACUGAUGGGAUAUAUUCCGGAGGGUGCCUGGACCUAGAAGAACAGGAACAACACAAGCCAAGAAGCUACCCCUGUGACUCCUGGCCUCAUGUCUUGGGUCUCCUACGUUCUUCAUCAAUAGCUGCUGGCAAGGAGUGGACACUCAGAGGAGCUUGGGUUACACCCAGUGUCCAGGUCUUCACACACCCGGCAUAUGCAUGCAGACAGUGUAUUCACUGAGGUGCCCUGUAGGUGGCACAUUCAGGGUGACAGUCAGAUCCCAGAACAGUUGUCCACUCAUAGCAUGAAACACUCUGUAUCAUCAAUUAAAAAUAAAAAUCAAUUGUGAA